UCGGGUAUGGCCCGGUCCGGGUCGGGUAAUUUACUGGACUUUAUUUUGCUUGCUCUUCUGCUGGGCGGGCGGGCAGUUGGCCAGAAUGCAUCGUGGCCGUUGCUUAAAGUGGGCCCAGAAUGCAUCACGGCCGUUUAUUUUUUUCAUGAAUACUCCGCCACCGUUUCAUAUUGCGGCGGUUAUCAGAUGAUGGAAGUGGAGGUGAAGCUCCGCCUCCCAACCUCCGCCGCGCACGAGCGCCUCUGCGGUAUCCUCGCCGCCCACCACCGCCGCACUCAUCUCCAAGAGAAUUUAUUCUUUGACAGUCCCGAAGCCAAGCUCGCCUCCAACCUUGCAGCUCUCCGUCUCCGCUUUUACGACCUCGAUUCCCGCUGCAUUCUCGGUCUGAAAUCCAAGCCUCGAAUCUACGCCGGUAUUAGCCGCAUCGAAGAGCAGGAAGAGCCUAUCGACCCAGCCGUUGGCCGCCAAUGCGCGGCGGAACCAUGGCGCCUUCUCGAAAUCGAAUCCUCCGAUAUAAUUAAGAGAGUGAAAGGUGAAUUCGGGGUGGAUGCGGAAGGUUUAGUGUGUCUUGGGGGUUUCAGAAACGUGAGGGGUGUUUACGAGUGGAAUGGAUUGACAUUGGAGAUUGACGAAACGCUUUUUAGUUUUGGAACGAGUUACGAGAUUGAAUGCGAGAGCUCGGAGCCGGACAGAGCUAAGAAAUUGCUCGAGGAGUUGCUGACUAGCCAUGGGAUUGAAUUUAGGUAUUCAGAGGCCUCCAAAUUCGCCAUAUUUCGUACUGGAAAACUGCCUGAUUGAGGUAUUUGGGGAACUAUUUGGUGUCUGGAGCCUUCUUGUUACUCUAUAUCAGCUGGUGAAGUCCCCUAUUGCCUGCUUCAUCGACAAAUAUUCUAGGUCUUGCUGGAGUUUAGCAAUGCUAAUGAAUGGGUUUCUUAUGAUGGAUGCAAUCAACUUUAUUGGAAGAUAUCUAUUAAGGAUCACUUUGCUUGACUUUGAGCCUGGUUGGGAAAGAUUCUUAAAAAUAUCUUAUAUGCUUUAUGAAUAUUUCAUGAGAGUAUUUGGUACAAGAAAAUUAUGUAGCUUAUCAGUUUGGAUGAUUCAUAGAGACUAACAAAAAUGAUUCCCUUUUCCCAUAUGUAUUGCUAUUAUAAUUUUAUACUCAAUUGAGAUAUAAUAUUAUUAAAAAAUUCUUGAUACAAUACUUUAUCAUUUUCUUAUAAAGUC